rnacentral:rRNA from 1 species
AGAGUUUGAUCCUGGCUCAGGACUUCGCUGGCGGCGUGCUUAACACAUGCAAGUCGAACGGAGCGCCUAUGAAGGAGAUUUCGGUCAACGGAAUAGGUUGCUUAGCGGCGCACGGGUGAGUAACACGUAUGGAACCUGCCCGUAGCAGGGGGAUAAGCGGAAGAAAUUCCGUCUAAUACCGCGUAAUAACUCCGAGAGGCAUCUCAUGGGGUUUAAAGGGUGACACCGGCUACGGAUGGCCAUGCGGCGCAUUAGCUAGUUGGCGGGGUAACGGCCCACCAAGGCGACGAUGCGUAGGGGUUCUGAGAGGAAGGUCCCCCACACUGGUACUGAGACACGGACCAGACUCCUACGGGAGGCAGCAGUGAGGAAUAUUGGUCAAUGGGCGCGAGCCUGAACCAGCCAAGUCGCGUGAGGGAAGACGGUCCUAUGGAUUGUAAACCUCUUUUGUCGGGGAGCAAAAGACGCCACGUGUGGCGUUCCGAGAGUACCCGAAGAAAAAGCAUCGGCUAACUCCGUGCCAGCAGCCGCGGUAAUACGGAGGAUGCGAGCGUUAUCCGGAUUUAUUGGGUUUAAAGGGUGCGCAGGCGGAAGAUCAAGUCAGCGGUAAAAUUGAGAGGCUCAACCUCUUCGAGCCGUUGAAACUGGUUUUCUUGAGUGAGCGAGAAGUAUGCGGAAUGCGUGGUGUAGCGGUGAAAUGCUUAGAGAUCAUACAGAACACCGAUUGCGAAGGCAGCUUACCAAGCUACAUCUGACGUUGAGGCACGAAAGCGUGGGGAGCAAACAGGAUUAGAUACCCUGGUAGUCCACGCAGUAAACGAUGAUAACUCGUUGUCGGCGAUACAAUGUCGGUGACUAAGCGAAAGCGAUAAGUUAUCCACCUGGGGAGUACGUUCGCAAGAAUGAAACUCAAAGGAAUUGACGGGGGCCCGCACAAGCGGAGGAACAUGUGGUUUAAUUCGAUGAUACGCGAGGAACCUUACCCGGGCUUGAAAGUUACUGACGCUUCUGGAAACAGGAGUUCCCUUCGGGGCAGGAAACUAGGUGCUGCAUGGUUGUCGUCAGCUCGUGCCGUGAGGUGUCGGGUUAAGUCCCAUAACGAGCGCAACCCCUACCGUUAGUUGCCAUCAGGUAAAGCUGGGCACUCUGGCGGGACUGCCGGUGUAAGCCGAGAGGAAGGUGGGGAUGACGUCAAAUCAGCACGGCCCUUACGUCCGGGGCUACACACGUGUUACAAUGGCAGGUACAGAGGGCAGCUACCUCGUGAGAGGAUGCGAAUCUCGAAAGCCUGUCUCAGUUCGGAUUGGAGGCUGAAACCCGCCUCCAUGAAGUUGGAUUCGCUAGUAAUCGCGCAUCAGCCAUGGCGCGGUGAAUACGUUCCCGGGCCUUGCACACACCGCCCGUCAAG